AUUGAACGCUGGCGGCAGACCUAACACAUGCAAGUCGAGCGAGCGGCGGACGGGUGAGUAAUGUAUGGGGAACUGCCCGAUAGAGGGGGAUAACUACUGGAAACGGUGGCUAAUACCGCAUACUAUCGGAUGAACCCAGAUGGGAUUAGCUAGUUGGUGGGGUAAAGGCUCACCAAGGCGACGAUCUCUAGCUGGUCUGAGAGGAUGAUCAGCCACACGGGGACUGAGACACGGUCCAGACUCCUACGGGAGGCAGCAGUGGGGAAUAUUGCACAAUGGGCGCAAGCCUGAUGCAGCCAUGCCGCGUGUAUGAAGAAGGCCUUAGGGUUGUAAAGUACUUUCAGCGGGGAGGCGUUACCCGCAGAAGAAGCACCGGCUAACUCCGUGCCAGCAGCCGCGGUAAUAC
rnacentral:rRNA from 1 species